GUAACAAGGUCUCCGUAGGUGAACCUGCGGAGGGAUCAUUACCGAGCGAGGGCUCCGGCCCGACCUCCCCACCCUUUUGUGAACCCCCCCCCGUUGCUUCGGGGGCGACCCUGCCGUCCGCGGCGGCGGCGCCCCCGGCGGCCGUCCAACACUGCGUCCGGCGCGUCGGAGUCUCGAGAGCAAAUGGAACAAAACUUUCAACAACGGAUCUCUUGGUACUGGCAUCGAUGAAGAACGCAGCGAAAUGCGAUAUGUAAUGUGAAUUGCAGAAUUCAGUGAAUCAUCGAAUCUUUGAACGCACAUUGCGCCCCCUGGCACUCCGGGGGGCAUGCCUGUUCGAGCGUCAUUUCACCACUCAAGCCUCGCUUGGUCUUGGGCGUCGCGGGUCUCCGCGCGCCCCAAAGUCCCCCGGCCGAGCGGCCCCGGCCCGGAGCGUUGCGAAACACUCGCUCCCGGGACGGGACCGCGGCGGCCGUCAAAACUCCCCACAAGGUUGACCUCGGAUCAGGUAGGGAUACCCGCUGAACUUAAGCAUAUC
rnacentral:rRNA from 1 species